GGUACUGUGNNAUGACAUCUCGUUAACACCGAGAAGGUCCCCGGUUCGAGCCCGGGCAGAACCU